CCCUCACCCAAAGCACUCACACUCAAUAACAAUGACACACACAGCAAAGAAGGAUAGAGCUGAGAAACGAGAGAUUCAGAGAGUGAGAAGAGAGCACGAGAAGAGAUCCAAGAGAGGGAGUGUGCCGCGCCGUCACCAAUCACCGUCGCGCACCACCACCGCCGUCAAGACGCCGAGCCACCACACAAGAAGAGGGAGACAUCGUCACUGCUGCCACCGUCGAGGGAGAGAGAGGGCACGUCGCGAGCCAGAGACGCCGCCAGGGAGAAGAGGAGCCGUUGCGCUCCACCGAUGACCAGCCGCCGUCGAGCUUCAAAGAGAGAGAGAAAGAGAUAGAACACAUGCAGGGAGAGAAGGCAUCGCGGGGUGGUUUCCGUCGCCGUUCUGCCGCCGCUGCUCUCGCCGCCAUCGCCCUCGGUUGAGCUCGCCGCCGCUGGCGGUGUCCGGCGUUGUACCCUUGCUGCCGAGUGUUACUGCUACUGUCACUUGAGCACAUGGCUACUGCUGUUGGGUUCACUGCAGAAAGGAGUCCGAGCAAGGAGAGGAAGAAGGUGGCCAUGGAGUCCUCCGCUGCUGCUGCUGCUAUCAACGUUACUGGAGUUUACAAUUGCUGCCGUCAUUGGUGAUGAACCGGAUUGUGUCCUCCCUGUUGGAUGACUGAAUUGGAGACGUUGCUAUUACCUUUCGUUUUGAGUCAUUAUUGUCAUUGUUCGGCGUUGCUGUCCCUGUCUAGAGCUAUUGAAUGUUUCUGCUACAAGAAUAUUACUAAAAUAGCUGCUGCUGCCACGAAUUGGGGAUAAAGGGAAUUCCUGCGUUAAAUCCUACUAUUGCAACAUCGAGAGGUACAGACAGGAUGGCUAGUUCAAGAGCUACAGACAUAGAAGGCUUGUUUGGCUAGUUGCUUUUGGGUUUAUUUCCCUCGCCCUUGAUGUUGUAGAGUGUUGUAUUUUUAGAGAGGGGUAGGUUUGUAUUUAAGUCUUGUAUGAAUAAUUAUUAUGUAUUAAUCUUAAUUAUGUGAGUAUAUGUUUAUCUGACAUAGUUGAGUUU